rnacentral:rRNA from 1 species
UACGGAGGGUGCAAGCGUUAAUCGGAAUUACUGGGCGUAAAGCGUGCGUAGGCGGUUCGUUACGUCUGUUGUGAAAGCCCCGGGCUCAACCUGGGCAUGGCAAUGGAUACUGGCGAGCUAGAGUGUGUCAGAGGAUGGUGGAAUUCCCGGUGUAGCGGUGAAAUGCGUAGAGAUCGGGAGGAACAUCAGUGGCGAAGGCGGCCAUCUGGGACAACACUGACGCUGAGGCACGAAAGCGUGGGGAGCAAACAGG